rnacentral:rRNA from 1 species
CUCCGAGACGGAUCCCGAGUAGUGCGGGGCACGUGAAACCCCGUAUGAAUCCGGCAGGACCAUCUGCCAAGGCUAAAUACUACCUGGCGACCGAUAGUGAAACAGUACCGUGAGGGAAAGGUGAAAAGCACCCCGGAAGGGGAGUGAAAUAGAACCUGAAACCGUGUGCUUACAAAAAGUCAGAGCCCGAUCUAUGGGUGAUGGCGUGCCUUUUGUAGAAUGAACCGGCGAGUUACGUUUAACAUGCAAGGUUAAGGUGAGAAGCCGGAGCCGCAGCGAAAGCGAGUCUGAAUAGGGCGACUGAGUAUGUGGACGUAGACCCGAAACCGUGUGAUCUACCCCUGUCCAGGGUGAAGGUGCGGUAACACGCACUGGAGGCCCGAACCCACGUACGUUGAAAAGUGCGGGGAUGAGGUGGGGGUAGCGGAGAAAUUCCAAUCGAACUCGGAGAUAGCUGGUUCUCCCCGAAAUAGCUUUAGGGCUAGCCUCGGUGAAUGGAGUCGUGGAGGUAGAGCACUGAUUGGGUGCGGGGCCCGCAAGGGUUACCAAGCUCAGUCAAACUCCGAAUGCCAUGGACUUCUUGCCGGGAGUCAGACAGUGAGUGCUAAGAUCCAUUGUCAAAAGGGAAACAGCCCAGACCAUCAGCUAAGGUCCCCAAGUGUGUGUUAAGUGGGAAAGGAUGUGGAGUUGCACAGACAACCAGGAUGUUGGCUUAGAAGCAGCCACCAUUGAAAGAGUGCGUAAUAGCUCACUGGUCGAGUGACUCUGCGCCGAAAAUGUAACGGGGCUAAACACACCACCGAAGCUAUGGCUUGAUGCUUUGCAUCAGGGGUAGGGGAGCGUUGU